GACGAACGCUGGCGGCGUGCUUAACACAUGCAAGUCGAGCGGUAAGGCCCUUUCGGGGGUACACGAGCGGCGAACGGGUGAGUAACACGUGGGUGACCUGCCCUCAGCUCUGGGAUAAGCCUGGGAAACCGGGUCUAAUACCGGAUAUGACUCCAUGACGCAUGUUGUGGGGUGAAAAGCCUUGUGCGGCUGAGGAUGGGCCCGCGGCCUAUCAGCUUGUUGGUGGGGUGAUGGCCUACCAAGGCGACGACGGGUAGCCGGCCUGAGAGGGCGACCGGCCACACUGGGACUGAGACACGGCCCAGACUCCUACGGGAGGCAGCAGUGGGGAAUCUUGCGCAAUGGGCGAAAGCCUGACGCAGCGACGCCGCGUGAGGGAUGACGGCCUCGUGUAA
rnacentral:rRNA from 1 species